CUCCUGGCGCAAACACUACAACAAAAUUAGGUUAUAGGGACACAUGUUUAGGACACUUUUGUCUAAGUGUCCCAUUUAUGUCAAAAUUUAAAAGAAACAUCUACUAAUGUCUAAAUAUAAAGCCGAAUCCAACAAAAAAAUAAAAGGUUACUAUACUCAACCCACCCAACCCAAACCAUUUGGCCCGAUUCCAAACUGAAAUGAAAAAAAAAAAAAAAAAAUCGAUUACUAUCUCCCCUUCUCCCCUCACUUAAUCCACUGAAAUUCUAGACGAAGGGCCCUUCCCUCUCGUCCUCCUCAGCCGCCGCAGCCAACGAGAUAGAGUUCUGACGAUUGCUAGAUGCUUAAAUAAGUGUUGCUAAAUUAGCAGCACUUUUUUUGGUUAUAGUGACACUCUUUAACUGUCGCUAUAUAUCUAGCGUCCCCACAUAUAGAAACACUUUUUAAAAGUGUCGGUAAUUUCGCCAACAGCACUUUUUUUGACUUAUACCGACAUUUAAAAGUGUCGCUAUAGACCGCUUUUAUUGUAGUGAAACUGCACAAAUCCUGCUCCAUCUUCC
rnacentral:lncRNA from 1 species